UACAGGGGGUGCAAACGUUGCUCGGAAUCAUUGGGCGUAAAGCGCACGUGAGCGGUUCGUUAUGUCGGAUGUGAAAGCCCUUGGCUUAACCGAGGAAGUGCAUCCGAAACUGGCGAGCUAGAGUACUAAAGAGGAUCGCGGAAUUCCCGGUGUAGAGGUGAAAUUCGUAGAUAUCGGGAGGAACACCGGGUGGCGAAGGCGGCGAUCUGGGGUCGAUACUGACGCUGAGGUGCGAAAGCGUGGGGAGCAAACAGG
rnacentral:rRNA from 1 species